UGCAAGCUUUAUUUGUGUUACCCUGCUUUACAUCUAGCCAGAUGUUUCUACCUUAAUGUUUGGGGAAACAGGGGUUCAUGUCGGCACGGGUGGAUUAAAUGAUGUUCUACAGCAGCUGCAGAGCCAAUGGAGGGGACACAUUUCUAUCACUGCUAAGAUGACAAAGCAGUUGUUAAACCCAGCAGUUACAGGGCUGGCCCAGGAAGGACUUGUCAGUCAAGUUUCCAAGUAAUCUGUUUGUGAAAUACGUGUUCCAUCUCCCUUAUUGACUAACAAUGUAUAUUAUCUGGUUAGUUGACUGUGGGGAUAAAGGUCUUUUUUCAUGUCAUUUGUCAAGCUCUUGUGCAAAAAGCUGCAGUUAAACUGUGAAUAACCUUAGAAUCCUGAACAGUGCCAACGAAAGUUCUAGGAAUAUGCUUAUUCAGUUUUUUACUAGACACAUAAAAUAGACAAGCUUUGUGUCUUUGCCAAUUAGAUAAACCAGGGUCUACCUCUUUCUUGGAAAUUUCCCUAGAGAAAGAUAUUCUCCUUGUAAAAAGGGAAAUAUAAAAAAUAAGCAAAUUAUAUAUUUGAGGAGCAGUAACAUAGCACACAAUUGUUGUUAAAGCUCCAGAAUAUGCGUUUUGUAGCACCGUGGUUAUAUAAAAUUACCAUAGACAUUAUCAAAACACUUAUAGACACUUACUGUUAAAAAUGAAUGAAUUAGGAGAUCUUUUUUUAAUUGAUCUUCAAAGCUUCUAUGCUGUUGAUAAUUAUAUGCAACACCUUUGUAUCUAAUCACAAGCAGGAAAAAUGUUUAAUGGAGAAUGAUUCAUGGAGACUUGUUUACAGCCUAUAAGCACACAGAAAGUCAGUCUAUAGUGUUUGUGUGUUCACAUAUCCCCAAGGAGUUGUAACAGGCUGGGCUGACACAGUCCUACAUCCCAGUGGACUGCCCUCUAGGACACUGUGUGGGUGAAGAAGGAUUUGGGUGUGCACAUGUGGCCGUUCCUGAGACCUUCUGUAUGGCAAUAUGUAAGCACUGUGUAGGCUGGGAAAUGUUACAGGAGGGAGAGGAGGAGCUGCUUGUUCUCUGUCAUUAUAAUUUUACAUUGUCAUACGUGAUGAAUUCCUGGCAUUGGCUCUGGCCUGAUCGAGCAGGUGGGGCAGCAAGAGCCCAGCACUUCCUACCAGAGUGUGUAGCAUGAGUGAGCCCCCCCUCUGCUGAAGUGAUUCAUCUGAGCCCCACAUACCACAGCGUCCUCCUGACCUCCUUAGUCUCUCUCUGACCUGCUGUUAAGUGUGUCACACAGCCUGCUUGUGCUGGUUGGGACAGUGACAGAGAUCCCAGUGUAUGGAUGUGGAUCUCUGGCAGCCAAAUCCCAGUGCUCGGCCUGCCCAUGGCAGGGACCACCCAGUUACAGGAGCCCAGUGCUGUACCGUCUGACUGACAGGCCCCAGUGUAACCCCAAACUUGGAGGCAGCCCAGUUUCAUGUUUCUGUCUUAUCUGCUUUGCCCAGAGAGGGAACCCUCUGGGCCAGCAGGAUAGCACAUGUGCCUGGGGACCCUCCCGCCUGCAGCAUUGCUACCAGUUCCCCUUCCUCACUCCUGCACAGGUGUUUAUCUGGGACAGCUGGAGCCUUUCUAGGGGAAUGGUCACCUCCAGCUCUUCCUUUCAAGAUUGCCUGCACAGCCUUUGGGUGUGCCUGAGUGCCAUGAUCAGCAAGGUCUCCACAUAGCCUUUUGAAGCCACCAAGGUGCAAACCAGCUAAUGAUUAAACCUGCUUUCUCAGUUUUACUGCUGGAGAAAUGCUUCUGUGGCAAAGCACCGAGGAGAGUACAAUACUCCUUUCACAUCAAAAGAGUAUGCAGACACCCAAGGUCUGUGACUCAGCUGGAUGGAAGCACCUUCCAGCCUCUUUAUUUUCUCUUUUAGGGUGCAGUCCUGAGAUAAGUGAGCUUUCUCAUCAUUUGAAGCUUAAGCGUGAGCCAUUACUCAGCUGAAAGUCCAGAUGGAAUGUUGUCAGAAGAGUUCUUACCCAGAUCUGGGACAACAGCUUUGCAGCAAUGCAAAUGUCUUCCUGGCAAGAAAAAGACCCCACCUUUGAUGUUUGAUUUAAUUACCAGCAGCCAGUGCACAAGGCAGGAAGGAGUAAGCAAAUCCCAGUGCAGAGCCUUUGCAUACACAGAACAUAUAUUUUACAUAAAUGUGUAAGUUGGCUCCUACUCCUUACAGAAACCCCGCCCAACAGCUCCUUUUUGCUGUUAUUUUUGUUUCCCUUUAACAGUUUCAGCCUUCUUAGCCUUCAAUAGGAGAUGAUGCAGCAAUUAUAAGAAAUAAAUAUGAUCAACCACUAGCAAAAUGUAUUUUCUCUCCCUCCUGACUUGCAAACUCCAAAGUGUUAAAAAAAUAACAAAUUUUGUCAUACUAACUUCUGAGGUGGGUGCCACUGUAACAGUUGUCACUGUAACACAUACUUUUGAUACCAAGUAAGGGUUAUUGCUCUAACGUGGAGACUUCCAUGCAGUGCUCUAAGUAAGGCAUGUUUUGUUUCUGCAGUUUUGAUAAUUUAGCUGCAGGUCUGGCCUGUCUUACUAUGCAGCUUAUUCCUGAUUCAUCUUCUGAGCUUACAAAAUACCAGAUAAAAAUAGAUUAUUGUUCUAUCUAAAUUCCCAUAAUCCUUGUACUCAUUAAAAAUAAAGUCAUGUAACUGUUCUUAGUCAGGAUUGCACUAAUUAGUACAACUGGCACUUCUGACCUUGUGAUUUCUACCCUUAAUACACUCAGGUUGGCUGUGCUGCCUGCAUUAACAU